rnacentral:lncRNA from 1 species
GGGGCGCGUGGAUUGAAAAUACCUCUGCUCCGCUCAGCUGGAGCUUCGGAGCCGCGCUGCCCGCCUAGGGACCGGCAGCCGGCGAGGUGGCUUCAGUAAGUUCCAAGCCGAGUUCUCCCUGCAUUGCGAGACCAAUCUAGACGGCUCGUGUAGCAGCAGCUCGCCGCCGUUGCCAGUGCUGGGGCUCGGGGGCCUGCGGAUCAGCUCUGACUCUUCCUCGGACAUCGAGUCUGACCUUGACCGAGACCCCAAUAGUGCAACAGACUCGGAUGGUAGUCCGCUGUCCAACAGCCAGCCUUCCUUCCCAGUGGAGAUCUUGCCCUUCCUCUACUUGGGCUGUGCCAAAGACUCCACCAACUUGGACGUGUUGGAGGAAUUCGGCAUCAAGUACAUCUUGAACGUCACCCCCAAUUUGCCGAAUCUCUUUGAGAACGCAGGAGAGUUUAAAUACAAGCAAAUCCCCAUCUCGGAUCACUGGAGCCAAAACCUGUCCCAGUUUUUCCCUGAGGCCAUUUCUUUCAUAGAUGAAGCCCGGGGCAAGAACUGUGGUGUCUUGGUACAUUGCUUGGCUGGCAUUAGCCGCUCAGUCACUGUGACUGUGGCU